ACUACUUCCUGGUCUUUUGGCUAAGAUCAAGUGUAGUAUCUGUUCUUAUCAGUUUAAUAUUGUCAAGAUGUCAUUUCUUUGAAACUUGAUACAUAGAUUCAAUAUAAUCACAACCAAAAUUAUAGCAAGUAAAUUGUGGCUAUUGGCAAAACUAAUUCUAAAUGUUGUAUAGUAAAGCACAAGAUCCAGAAUAGCUAAUUCAGU
rnacentral:snRNA from 1 species